rnacentral:rRNA from 1 species
AAUGAACGCUGGCGGCUUGCCUACAACAUGCAAGUCGACCGAACCUUCGGGGCUCGUUGGCCACUGGCGGGUAACGCGGGGGGACCUGCCCCUCGGGUCGGGAUUACCUCCCCGAAUGGGGUCUAAUCCCGGAACAUUGUCUCGGACCAAAGAAUUUAUGGCUUUGGAUGGGCCCCCGUUGGAUUAGCUUGUUGGUAAGGCAAAAAGCUACCAAGGCGGCGAUUCAUAGACGGGCUGAGAGGAUUGCCAGCCACACUGGGACUGAGACACGGCCCAGACUCCUACGGGAGGCAGCAGUGGGGAAUAUUGGACAAUGGGCGAAAGCCUGAUCCAGCACUGCCGCGUGAGUGAUGAAGGCCUUAGGGUUGUAAAGCUCUUUUACCCGGGAUGAUAAUGACAGUACCGGGAGAAUAAGCUCCGGCUAACUCCGUG